AUGAGACGUCACAGCGCGCGUCGUGCAUUGCUGCCGCACGCUGGUUUAUAUGCUGCACGAGUCCUCAUAUAUAUUCGUUUGUGUUAUCCAGAAUAAAUGAGGAC